UCGAAUCAUUUUUUGGAAGUGGAGAAAUUCAAUUUGAGAAAUUUCUCCAUAUUAUCAAAAUGAGCAUCGAAUAGCCUCGAAAUAGUUUUUAGAAAGUUCUGUUCUGAUGUUUCGCUUCACCCUCUGUGAUGAAAUGUGUUGAAUUAUUUUCCAUCAUUUAUUUACCAAAGCAUUAGGUAUCAUUUAUUAGUAGGUAUUAUGGGUUGCUCAUCAAACAUUCCAGUUGCUCAUUGAAAAAUUAAGCUCUCCAGUCUCCAUCGGAUUUUUAAUUUUCCAAAAUAGUCUAAAAAUUGCAUAAAUAUGUGCUUGACCUUACUCCAGAUGCUAAGUAGGGAGGAAGGAGGGGGUAUGUUUUGACUUCUUUUGAAAAUUCGUUGAAGAAUAUCGAAAAAAGUUAUGGCUUCGUAUCAAAAAACAUUGAGAAAUAUUUAGGAUCUGUGACUUGAACUCUCGUUUGUCAACUAGGGUUUCAAAUUUUGACAUUUCCUUUGAAAAUUGGAAAAAAAUAUUUCUUCGAAAAUUGUUUGUAAAGACAGUAUUUACUUGCACCUGAGGUGCUAACGUGUCUACAUGGUAUAACUUCACCCAUGACCUUGUUAUACCUAUACCUAGUGCUAGCACAGAUAGGCACUGGCGAUUUACCGCCUCGUAUACCUACUCUUCGGAGAUAAAAUAUGAAAUAUUAAUUAUGCACACUGAUAUAUGAAUAAAAUGAAUACUCAGUCGACUAUAACGUUACAUUAGCUUUAUUGGUUAUUAAGCACAGCAUGUAUAUAGUCUUAGUAUAUUACGUAAAUAGAAUUACGAUUUGAUUUAAAGGAAGCGAGUACAAGUAGUCGCAAAUGCGUGUAUAAACACCACCCAGGGACAAGGGCAUUCAUGCCGGAUAGGGCAGGUCCAGUAUAAAUGACUCUAAGAAGAGAAUUUAGAGAUGCUGCAGUUCAUCCCUUGAGUAACCACGAUCCAAUCCAAUAGUCCAUUACGUAAAAGAUAUUCCAUAUCCCAGUAAUAAUUAGAUGGAAAGUACGUGCUCCAUACGUCGAACGUACUGAUAGGGCUCCGUACCUCGACCUAUCUAUUGAAUUGAAACCAAGCUCUCGCUUAGUGAGUCCGUGAUUGACUGGUGUUGUGAUCGGAUAACGUAAAACACUUCACUGGCGCGAACUAAACCGCUAGAUAGCGUGGUUACGUAAGAGAACUGACAUUAAACCGAAUGAAAGGUAGAAGGAGAACAAUUUUCCCUCGCCUAAGCGACGGAAAAUGGCGCAAUUCCUCCCUUUACAUUGCCCCGAGUGAUUACUUAUAGAAAUAUGUAACCACUCUAACAAAUAAAAAGGGAGAAUGACCGUUGUGCCCUAUCCUUGCCCCGGGUGUUUACAUGUUGCUGUAAGGUAAAUAAAAACGCAGUAAAAUAAACAUCUUCUUAUCUACAGAUGAUAUAAAAUAAAAACAAUACAAUACUAAAAGGAAAGAAAAUUUGUAACAACAAAAAGAAAAUGUCCAACCUCUGGAAAAAUUAAAAUUAUAAAAGUAAAACGAAAUGAAAAAUUAUCCAAACAGAAAUCUGUGAAAGAUUAAAAUAAGUCGCGUUACAUCCUAUGGUUCAGAGAACUAGCGAAAAUCGAAGGUGCAUAAUGUAUGUACGUUAAUGAUGGAAGCUAUUGAUUAUUACAGUAUGUAUCAAUUUUGUACAUUGUUACGUUAUUCUAUUCUAUGGCUAACAUGAAUUUAUUUAUUGUUUCAGGUUCCUUGUGGUAGAAUGUAGUUUGAUUUCGUUCUUCGGUAUCUGUCUCAUUCCGGGAAGUAUGAAUUACGUAAGAUUGGUAAGGUUCCAGAUUUUCGAUACUUUGUAACUUAAUUUUUUUAUCUACAGAUGUUUAUUCAGCAAGAAGCGGCAAUAGACCCAAUACAGCCUCCAAAAUAAUGCGGUGGUCAAGAAAUGGACAUUUGUCAACUAUCUUUUCUGGUAACGUUCGAUCUAGUAUACUUUCAAGUUGUUUUAUAUAGUUUGUAUUAUGUGUAUCUUUUUUCGAGAUGCUGAUAGCUUCUAGCCAGUUUCUAAAUUUCUUCGUCUUAUCACCAUGUACUAUGUGUUUUAUAGGUGGUAUGACGUAAAUUUUCUUUACGCCGGAAUUAGUCAAUGUCUUGAUCAGUGCGUUAAAAUCGUCUCUCAUUUUUUCUUCGUCGGUAUUUUCGUGAAGAUCUUUAUGGCCUAUCGAUACCAGCACUUUUUUAGGUAAUUUUGUUACAUUUUUGGAGAUUGACCUAUUUAAAUCUGUUGUUGAUAUAAAACCGUUUACGUAAUCGUUGUAUUCCAAUUUUUCAGUGUAAGCUUGAUCGCCGUCUAUCGCAAAAUGAACCAUUUGAUGUACUAGACCGUCGCCCAGCAUCCAAUAUUGUUGCAGAAAGAAGAUAGUCUCUGUACCUUUAUUUCGUAACGUAAGCGUAGCUCCAGUUGUGUAUAAAUUGUAUCUAAACUUUCUACACGUCGAACCGAAUUCAUCAGGUCGAGAUUGUCAAUCGAUUUCGGUAGUUCUUUACGUCACGGAUUGCUCCGAAAUGUCCUGGCUUGAGAGGACUACGGGUAUGAUUAUUAUCUAUAAUUGAUUCGAACUUAUUCUGUUCAUAUUUAGUUCUAUAUCGAUUGAUAGCAUUACGUCGAUGACUAUUACGUAAAGGAGUUCUUGGUACGUAUCGUGAACCGGAUGGUUUGAGUAUUACUUUUAGAUUUUUCGUAUUGAUUGGUUUUCUUUCAGGAGAUCUAUGGCGUAUUUGGAUCAUAGUUUUGCUGGUUUUGGUUGGCGAUGAUGACUUUUUCGGUGGUGAUUUCUUCGGUGAAGAUUUUGCGGGUAAUUUUACUGUUUUUGUAAUGGUUGAUUUAAGUAGUGGGAUUUUGAAUUCAUCUGUUUUUUCUGUUUUCAGGUGUUCAUGUUUCCAAUUGGUUUCCUCAUCGGACGUGUCUUCAUAUUUUGGUUCAAAUUGUGAUUCGUCGAUUUCUUUUUCAUUAGAUGUAGAUUCGGCUGAGAUCUGAUCUUCGUCGCUUAAAGGUUGUAUGAAUUCAUCGAUCGGAUUGUCAUAUUUGUGUUCCGGUGUUACGUUAUCAAUCGGUUCACAUUUUUUCAGGUGUAUAAUUUUUUCCACUGAUAAUUUUACUCGAUCAUUUAAAUGUUUUACGUCAGAGUUCAAUUUAGCAAUUUCGUUCAUAUAAUCGUUGUUCUCUAGUUUUAGCUCUUGAUUUUCUUUGCGUAACUGCCAUAGUUGUUGGACCAAGGUAGCUGGUGACGUUGAAUCGUCUUUUGUAGUUGUAAUUUGGAUGUUAUUUGCUUGCACUUCGACGUCAGAUGCAAGAAUCAGCGAUAUGUUGCAGUUGGGAAAUACGCAUUUCUCAGUGCCAGGCGCAUAAGCUGUAUACAGGUUAGUUAGACAUUUUUCGUGAUAAAUAUGUCUGCAUGAUGUUAUCCUUAGUUUUGCAUUUGUUCGAUCUUGAUCUGGACCUUGUCCAAGUGAUUUGUUGCAGCUUGAGCAGGUAAUGAUGUUUACUCGAAUUGCGUCCAUUUUCUUCCUGGUUGGUUCAGAGUACAGCUUUUCUUCCAUGGAUUACGUUACGAAAAUGAAAACUUGAGAUUCGGAAUUGAACGGAAUCGAAAGUACUUGAGAAUAAUCGGAUUCGGGUUACGUAAGAUGAAGCUUUUCCUUUGACAAAACUCCGCGGUUUGCUACACGUGUCUGAGGACCUGUUGGAUGUUUUUAUAGUUGUAAUCCAUUGUACUUUAUGCGUAUUGUAUCCGUGUAUUAUUUUGUACUUACGUGAGUCAGCUUUUCAAAUGAUUUCUGUUUUUUGAUGUACUUGUUGUGCUAACGUCGUGAUAAUGAUGAACUUUUGAACUUCAUUAAACUAUUGUAUAUUUACGCCAUGAGAUACUGUUUGUUAUUUCGAUGUUCCAUUGUAAUACUGUUACCUGUGACUUUAUUUUUCACGUUAUAUCAUGUUUGACGAUUUUAUUUUACUCGAAUACUUUGUACGGUUUUUCUGUGUGUUGGUUGUACUAACGGAUGAGAUUGCUCUUUUUGAAUAAAUGAAAUCUGCUCUCACGAUGAUAGAAUUUAUUUUAUUUAAACAUAUAACGAGUACAUAAAGAAAAACAUUGGGUAAAUAUUGAGAUUGAUAUUGAGAUACACGAUUAGAUUAUUCCACGACUGCUGGAAUCAGUAAAUUCGUUACGUAAGAUUAAAACUAUAUAAAAAGAUUAUCAGGUACAUUCCCACAACUGCUGGAGAUCUUAUUAUUUAACGACAAACUCUAAAAUUAAUGUGAUUAUAGCUGUAGGUACAUUUCUAUCAUAACGUUAUUUGAACUUAUAACGUUUUCCUUCACCGUUGGAAUUAUUACUCUAUUACGUUAAAGUAGCUUUUGAUGUAACGAUUGUAAAAAUAUACAUAUUCAAGCAGUUAUGCGUUACGUAAUGUUUCGAUACCUAUACGAUCUUCAUAUUCCUUGUAUCUAUCUUCUCCUAUGGUAUCUGGUCGUUCGGGAAUCUGAGUUAGGAAUAAGUCGCCUUCAUCAUGUAUAUCAGCUGCUAUCAGGGAAACCAUUUCGUAGUUCGCGGUAUAUGUGUGGAACAUAUUUUCCUGACGAUCUAUAAAGUACGGUACCGGAUGCUUUUGAUAUAUUUCUUCGAACUGCUCCAUAUAAAUAAGAUCUGCACCUUUUAUCUGUACCGCCUCUUCCUUUAGCCAUUUGUUAAACCGCUCAGCUUUUAUCGCAUAUUUUUCCAUAGCUGCAUAGGAAUAGACCAUUGGGAUCAGAAGAAUUCUCUUCGCUCCUUUGCUGAUCAUAAGAUGUAGUAGUUGAGUCGUGUUUUUGAUUACGUUACGAAAGAUUUCUUUUCUGACAUCAUGGUUUCCGAUGGAAACUGCUAACAUUGGAGGCAGCUGUCUUAUAGCGUAUAUGAGGUGGUUUUUGAGUUUCUUCGGUGAUAACGUGCCUGUCAGUAGUAACGAAUUCAUCAUGGUUGUACGCAGAGGCUUGUUUUCGUAUAGUCCUUCCCAGGCCAUUGCGCAGAGAGCCCCGUCACCGAUCAUCAUAUAGUUUCCCAUAAAAUAGCAUUUGAUGUUAUAUCCGCGGGGGUGUUUGUACGUAUACUGUGUUAUGAAGUCGGUUUGAAUUUUGUCGGUAAAGCGAUCAGAAUAUCUCGUUGUUACGUUACUAUUGAAAUUAAAUCCCUUUUUGAAGCAUUCUCUUCGUAGUUCGCUGAUGUUGUAUUCGAUGGGUAUGUCGUAGGUUUCUCUGUCGUGCAUGAUCAUCGGUCUGAUUUCAAUCGGUUCUUUAAACGUUACAUAAUAAAAAUUGUUGUUUUCUUUGAGUUUCUUCCAAUGUUGGUAUGGUGUGACGUAGUUGGUUUCAGCAUCGCUUUCGAUUUCGAUGGUUAUUACGUUAUUUGAGGUAGAUGGUUGCAGAUUGUUGGGGUUCGAUUGUAUUACGUUAUUAGUGAGAGCUUCUUUCAGGUGUGGAUUCUGUCCAAAUUGGUCUACUUCGAAUUUUAAUUCUUCACCUAAUUCGAUCCCAUCCUCUUUUUUCAUUUCUUCGUAUACUCGUUUCAUCUCUCUAUUAAACAGUAUUUGUCUGAGACCUUCUAAAUCUUCUUCAAGUUUCCGAAUCCGUGUAUCUUUUUGUUCUAGGUCAUUGCUUUGUGUGUUAACCGUUUGCUGUAUCUCUUCAAUCGUCUUUUCUGAUUCAUCCAAUUGUAGUUUUAAAUUGCGAUUGUAAUUUACGUAUCGAGCAAUUACACUUGCCAUAUCAUCUGCUGGUAUCCUGAUCGGACGAACCUUUCCAACUUCGAAGAUUUCUUUGCAAUUGGGAAUUUGGCAUCUUCCUGGGUUCUCUUUUUCCUCACAGCUGAUAAUUACGGUGGUCAUUAGGUUAACACAUCGUUGGUGUGCAAUGUGCCGGCAUCGAUCAAGAACUGUAAUACCCUUUGAAUAUUCCUCGUCGAGUAUUAACAGCAAACAUAUUGCGCAAAUUGGCAUUUUUACGGUCGCUUCGUAUUCGGUCAAUCCUAACGAAUCGUCUAUCAUUUUGCUCGCCAUUCUGAAUAACAUAUAUAUGGGUAGUUGUUAAUAUCUGGUCUGAUUAUUACACAGUUGGAUAUGUUGGAAAAAUUUACCUUGAUAUAUUGAUUGGAAAGCUCCUUCGAUUAAACUGAUUGUCUUUAGCUGUUUAUCACGACACUUUUAUUGCUUCUUCUUCGCACUUUCACUAAUUAAUCGUCAAAUAUCAUCAAAAUUUCGUACCAAAUUAUAACACAAAGAACUUUACAUCAUAGUAGAUCUUCCACGGUUGAUUGCACAAUGUGUUUCAAUUUUUUGUUUAUCAACAGAUUUGUCUACUAAUUUGGGGUUGCGGUGCUUGUCUGAUUUGCCUAUGUUUGAUGGAUGAGGUAUCGUAAGAAUAAUUGGAAUCCAUAGUAUAUCUCUUGAUUUUAUUUUAUAUUUAGAAAAUGAACAAAUAAGGCAUAAUUCACAAACAUAACGAAUUGUUUUCUUAAACUAAUAGUAACUCUUUGGAUUAAUAUUCAUAUUAACGAAACUCCUCUACUGCAGGUAUAAAAAUAGCAUAACGUAACUAUAUAUUGAUAAUGGGUUUUUUGGAAAAGAAAAUUAAACUGGUUGACUUCUUUUUGCACCUUUUACGAAUUGAACAAUAUAAUGGUAAUUUUUCUUCGACGACAGGUUAUUUGAAUGGAUUCACUGUUCAAAACACUUUGAUCUUUUUUAUUACGUUAUUCACCGAUGAAUCUUUAGUGUGAGGAAUUUUUUAGCUUCGGAUUUGAAAUGGUUCGAUAGGCGGGAAUACAUUUUGAUGAUUAAGUCCAACGCUGGUCGAAUAUUACUCAUCGCA